UGAACAUGACGCUGCCCUGGUGGAAUACUGUCAGUGUGACACAACAUACACUAUCGCCUAACUAUAGAACUUGGAAGGUCAGGUGAUUCGUCACAUGACCCACUAAACAUGGCGGCGUCCUGUCUGUCAGGCAGCUCCACUCUCCUGUUAUUAGUUUUGUUGCUGUCACUGUUGGGACCAGGGAGGGUUUUAGCCGGGUGCGGGUGCGGCGAUACCAGCCGAGGGGGUCACGCACAUGGAGGAGGGUCGGAGAAUUCGCACAGAGGGGCAUCUUUCAAAUACUCGCGGGAGGCCAAUGAGCCGGAGCCUACAAAGAAAGAGACACAGGGACGGGAGCAGAUGGUUCUAAUUCCCUCAGGGGUGUUCACUAUGGGUACCGAUGAGCCCGGUAUACCGCAAGAUGGGGAGAGUCCUGCUCGCAAGGUUCACCUGGAUUCUUUCUACAUGGAUAUGUAUGAAGUUAGCAACUCAGAGUUUGAAAAGUUUGUGAAAGCGACAGGCCAUGUAACAGAGGCGGAAACUUUUGGUGACUCGUUUGUAUUUGAGGGAUUGAUAACUGAAGAAGUGAAAAGCACCAUCCAUCAAGCUGUUGCUGCUGCGCCCUGGUGGCUUCCAGUGAAAGGUGCUGAUUGGAGACACCCUGAAGGGCCUGACUCUAACAUCUUAAACAGGAUGGAUCAUCCCAUUCUCCAUGUUUCCUGGAAUGAUGCUUCUGCUUUCUGCAUCUGGGCAGGUAAACGCCUUCCAACUGAAGCUGAGUGGGAAUACGCCUGCCGCGGGGGACUUGAGAACAGGAUUUUUCCAUGGGGGAACAAGCUGGAACCAAAGGGACAACAUUAUGCGAAUGUCUGGCAGGGGGAUUUUCCAACCCAAAACACUGGAGAGGAUGGUUAUGUGCAGACUUCACCUGUAACUGCUUUCCCAGCCAAUGGUUAUGGUCUAUAUAACAUGGUGGGAAAUGCUUGGGAGUGGACAUCUGAUUGGUGGGACACUCAUCAUACAGCAGAUGAGGUUCACAACCCGAAAGGACCUUCUACGGGAAAUGAUAGAGUGAAGAAAGGAGGCUCCUACAUGUGCCAUGAGGAAAAUGACUACAUCAGCUCUCUUCCAGUCUGAUACUGUUCAAUUGCUCCGACAGACAAAGAGCUUAACAUGGGAUGUCACACGGCCCAGAGCUUGAACUACAGCUGCUGAGGAUGAGGAAAGUUGCAGUUCAUGAAAGCAGGUUGCAUUGUUAAAUUAACCCCAGCACCCAUUUCCAAACUGAAUGGGAUGGAGUCCUAUUGCUACAGGUAUCGCUGUGCUGCUCGAAGUCAGAAUACACCCGACAGCUCGGCCUCCAACCUGGGAUUCCGCUGUGUGGCGCCGGCUCCGUGACC